CCUCUAUGAUAACUAUUAACUAAUAUUAAUUGAAAAAAAUAAUAAUUAUUUAUGCAUAAACACAGUAAAUAAUUAUUUGUAGUAUUAUUAUUAUACUAUUUUAAUGUUAAUUUAAUGUUUUAAUUAAAAAACUAUUAAUUGAAGAUAUAUACAAUAUAUUAUAUAGAUUAUUCAUUCUGAUGAAUGUUCUUGUUCUCACUAGACAGUCAAUAACUUCUUGUGGAAUAGACAAAUAUUGAAUUGUUGGUGUCAAUCUGUUAACCAUAUUCUUCAUUAUUCCUUUACUUUUUGUAAUAUUAUCACCAUUAACUAAUUUAAAUUCAAUUUCAAGAAAUUUGAGCGCUGUCAACAAAUUGUUUGAUGGUAAUUUCAAAUCACCUCUUGACUUGAAAUUAGUCCAACAGUCUUCUGCAACAUCACUAUCAUCUGUUUGUUUUAUCAACUCUGGAUAUUUGUUGGCAAACCGAUUACAAAUAUAGCCAGCUACAUAUUGAGCACUAUCCUCUUCAAGCUCAUUAAAAGUUUAUUUUCUUCCAUCUAAAUCACAUUAAUUAUUAAUAUUUACAAUGUUUGAUUGUAUGAUUUAGUUAUGUGCUAAAAUAUUUUUUUUUACUUCAAAUUCUUUUAGAAGAUCAAAGCACUGUUCACUGAUUAUUGGUGUACAUUCACUACCAAUAUUUGACUGUACGUUGGUUAUUUCUGUUGGGUCAUCUGUUUCAAACGUACUCGAAUUCAACAUUUGACCAGUCAAACACUCAUUUUCAGUCAAUAAUCUGUUUUCUAGAUCAAGCUGUGAGUUUGUAUUCUCAGUAAAUACAAAAUCUGAAUGUUUUCCAAGAAUGUACCAUCUCAGGCUAAACAUUUUUUAUUCACAAUUAUACAUUUUAUUAUUUUAUGACUAUUUAUGUAAAUUAUAAAUGACUAGUUAUAAAUUUAUACAUAAUUUAAUUAUAUCAAUGCAUUCAAACUUCAAACUAUAUAAAACACUUACCAGUAUUUGAAAUCUAGAGGUGUUAUACAAUUACUCGCUGAACCUGUCAUGCCUUUCAGAAAACUAAAUAGGUUUUCUAUUAUAUCUUGAUUAAGUCUUCUACCAAUGAUGUACUCCAUGCCAUGUUCAUCUUUUAAAAAUUUUAAUAAAGAUUUUAAAGAUUUAUUACACACUGCUAUUCCUAUAAUAAUCAAGAAAUAAUUAUUAAAACAAUACAUGUUUUAUUACAAAGUAUAAAAUUACAACCUUUUUGGAAAGGAACAAGGGUUUUUUUUUCCAUAUAUUCGCAUUUCCAGUAUAAAAGUACUCAUUUUAUCAAGAAGUUCAUCUUGAUGCUCUACAUUUAUACCAUAGCUUGGAGUACUGCCAUCAAACUUAUGCUGAGUGUUGAAGAUGUCAAACCAAUUGUUGAACAGAAGAAUCAUUUCAGAGGCCUGUUUUUCAAGUGAUUCCUGGCUAAUUUCAAAAGAUGAGGUACAUCUGCAAAAACAUGUAUUUUAUUGGAUGUCGAUGGAUGCUCAAACGUUGUAUUUUCAAUUGAAAUGUUCAAGGUUCGCCAUAAACCCAUGUUGGAAGGACCCAUGUCGCUUACCAUAGCAAUAACAUUGAAAUCAAUUUUGUGUAACUCUUCAAUUAUGUUAAAUAAUAAUUCUUUAGUCAUUUUAGUAUCAUAGUUGUAAAAAAUUGGCUGUUUCCAAUUACUUGUAAGACCUAAAUUGUUAUUGGAUUACAUUUUGUUAAAUAAUAAAAUUAAUUAAGAAAUAGUAA